GAUGAACGCUGGCGGCGUGCCUAAUACAUGCAAGUCGAGCGAACGGACGAGAAGCUUGCUUCUCUGAUGUUAGCGGCGGACGGGUGAGUAACACGUGGAUAACCUACCUAUAAGACUGGGAUAACUUCGGGAAACCGGAGCUAAUACCGGAUAAUAUUUUGAACCGCAUGGUUCAAAAGUGAAAGACGGUCUUGCUGUCACUUAUAGAUGGAUCCGCGCUGCAUUAGCUAGUUGGUAGGUAACGGCUUACCAAGGCAACGAUGCAUAGCCGACCUGAGAGGGUGAUCGGCCACACUGGAACUGAGACACGGUCCAGACUCCUACGGGAGGCAGCAGUAGGGAAUCUUCCGCAAUGGGCGAAAGCCUGACGGAGCAACGCCGCGUGAGUGAUGAAGGUCUUCGGAUCGUAAAACUCUGUUAUUAGGGAAGAACAAAUGUGUAAGUAACUGUGCACAUCUUGACGGUACCUAAUCAGAAAGCCACGGCUAACUACGUG
rnacentral:rRNA from 1 species